GCCCAAGUAGUAUAGCGAUUAGUACUCCACGUUGUGGCCGUGGCGACCCCUGUUUGACUCAGGGCUUGGGCA